rnacentral:rRNA from 1 species
UACGGGGGGGGCAAGCGUUGUUCGGAAUUACUGGGCGUAAAGGGCUCGUAGGCGGCCAACUAAGUCGGACGUGAAAGCCCCGGGCUUAACCUGGGAAUGGCAUUGGAAACUGGCUCGCUGGAGUGUGGCAGAGGGGGGUGGAAUUCCGCGUGUAGCAGUGAAAUGCGUAGAGAUGCGGAGGAACACCGAUGGCGAAGGCAGCCCCCUGGGCUAACACUGACGCUCAGGCACGAAAGCGUGGGGAGCAAACAGG